rnacentral:rRNA from 1 species
UACAGAGGUCCCGAGCGUUGUUCGGAUUCACUGGGCGUAAAGGGUGCGUAGGUGGUGGGGUAAGUCUCGUGUGAAAGCUCGCAGCUUAACUGCGAAAAGUCACGGGAUACUAUCCGGCUAGAGGCUUGGAGGGGGGACUGGAAUACUUGGUGUAGCAGUGAAAUGCGUAGAUAUCAAGUGGAACACCAGUGGCGAAGGCGGGUCUCUGGGCCGAAAUUGACGCUGAGGAGCGAAAGCGUGGGGAGCAAACAGG